UUUGCUCAUGGCUGUGAUAGCUUCUGUGCCUGCUUGUUCCCAGCUUUGCUCCUGCUUAGUUCCAGUCCUGCUCCUGCUUAGUUCCAGCCUUGCUGCACUCCAGGAGUGGAGCAUAACUACAAGUCUGACAGUCAGGACGGCCACCAGGGGAGAAGCACUGUGACCCUCACCUAGACACCGUUGAGGAGACAGAGGAGCACCCAGCAAUGAGUGAACUAUUUGACUAAGAACAUUGUGGGGUUAAGCCGUCUCCAUCCUUACAUCUGCUCCUGCCCAGACGGUCCUGAGACCGCAGAAGGAUGCCUCAAAAGUCCAAAAGGGGCUGCUACACCAGGAACUUCCCAAACUCCAGAUGUGAACACUUAGGGCCAAGUCAUACAAGCUGACUUCAGUAGGAAGAUAUAAAGUUUGCCUUUGCAUUCCCUCAGUCUUUGGAUGGCCAUAUGUUUGGACAAUCUCCUGGAGGCUGCUCUAAGUUACCCCGCCUGCCAAGAGCUGGAAGAGGACAAUAUGGCAGCAAGGGAUCAGUGGGCCAUAAGGGACCUCUGGCCUUGCAUGUUUUCUCCCAGCAAUGUCCUUUAUGCUGAUAACAGGCACAGGAUGUCAUGUAAGAGUCAGAAUGCCAGCACUACACCAAUGAAGACUCUCCUUUGCACUGUUGUGAUUCUCCCAGGGCUGCUUAAACCAUAUUUGUGGACAGAAUCAGCUGGUGACGCCUUGCUACAUAUCAUGAUAGGGACAUUAAAUUCUGGUACUGAAAUAUCCCAGAUUUCACUAUAUUGAUACUCUAUUUUGUUUAGUCUCAUCAGAGAGAGUGGCUCUUGAAGGUGGUGGUGGUGGGUGGAUGAACGAUGCAAGUCCAUGAUUGUUUGGGUUUUGAUUCGGUCAGUCUCAAAGAAUGCAGUACAGGAACUUGGUGGUGACAUGGUUUCAAUCUAAAAUGAGGCCAAGUUUGUACAUUUCAGAUGAGCUGCACUUUAUGUGGGAGUUUGUUUGGAGCCCCCAGUAAUUUCCACGAAAUAUGGAUCCAUAUAAAUUGAA